rnacentral:lncRNA from 1 species
CACGCUAUAGCCCGCUAUAGCUUAUUUGGAGGUCCGUCGCUAUUUUCCAUAGCCCGCUAUUUAAAACAUUGCAAGUAAAUAAUAGAGUAGAUUCCAGUUUUACCCCCAUAAUUCAUGUUUUUUACAGUUAUUACCCCAUUUAAUGAAAUUUCUUAAUUUAUAUUCAAUUUAGACAAAUUUGGGCCACACUUUACACUGCUUAGUUUUUUCUUAGUUUUGAUGCUGAGCGCGCUAUAUCGUCGCUAAUAGCACGCUAUAGCCCGCUAUAGCUUAUUUGAAGGUCCGUCGCUAUUUGUCAUAGCCCGCUAUUUAAAACAUUGCAAGUAAAUAAUAGAGUGGGUUCCAUUUUUACUCCCAUUAUGCGACAAAGGGAGGAAGACUAGCCAGCGCUGCACCCUUACCAAGGUCAGUAGCUACGGCUACAGAUGAAGCCUUUCUUGUGGCGCCACUAUAGAAUAUCGCCAUGUGAAAUAUUUCCUAAAGUUUAGAGGGUGCUUGGAUACAAGGGACUUAUUUUAGUCUGACUAAAAAUAGUCUCUUUAAGAGGCUAAAGUUCCAAGCACCACUGACUAAAGAGGGGCUAAAACUAGUCUUGAGACUAAAAAAAUUUAGUCAGGGGUACCCCUACUAAAAUGUGGAUUAGUCUUCUCUCUCCUCAUUUAACUCAUCUCCUUUAACACAGGCGAGUUCUGGAUUGGAGAGUUUGGAGGAUAAUAAAUGCUCAUUAACUUGAUUUUAGUCUCUUUAGUAUUUGGAUCCAAGCAUGAGUGAGAAUAGCAAAUUUUAGUCCCAUUAUUUUUAAUCAUGGGACUAAAACGUAUCCAAACCCCCUCCUAGUAUAUGAAGCUAGCUACUUGCAGCCCCUAUUAACGACACUCUAUUUCAACCAGUAUCAAAAGUCGUUGUUCCCAAUACAUCACAUUCCCCACUAGAUAAUGCUAUGUGACUGUCCGUGCCAUUCACCAUGCUUGUUAGUGUUGCUCUCCUCGCACACUUCACCAUUCUUUUCCUAGCAAACGAGUGUGCCAUGCUACACUGGAAAUAAGCUAGUUAUUUAUAGGAGACCGACGAGCAACCAAUGUUGUGGGUGGCAUACACAUCAUUAUUGCUUCACCAAACAUCACAU